GCUGUGCCUCUAUUAGCUCGUGACUUUUGGAUCCGGGACGAAGUGGCCAGGGCUCAACUUUCUCAUUUAUAAAGCAAAUAGCUGGAAAAAAGAAAAGCUCUGGAAGAUCUGUGGCUUCACGGAUUGAAGUCCCAGCGGCAGCCGCUCCUCGGCCUCUGUGGCUGCCCUGACAGAGGUGCGGCUCCUUCCGGAGGCCCUGGUGUAAGACCGAGGGCCUUACCAAACGCUCCGAGGAGGUGACUGCAGCGAAGAACACCCGGGAAGGAACACACCGGACAAGUUGGAAAGUAAAACAGACCUUUAUUAGUCUGGCCAGACGGCACUCCCAAAGCAAAGUAGCUUAGAGAGGCGACUAGCCCAGAGUCCGAGGCUCUUUUUAUAGGGGGUUGCAGGGGAAGUUAACAGGCGAAAUUCACAGAAGAGGAACAAAGAAGGUCACCACACCACGUGCAGAUUCAGACUCCCAAGAGACCUAGAUUUUGUCAGAGAAUUCUGCCGUGGCAUCCUGAGACAAGGAUGAAGACCCAGGGUGGGGGCACUGGAGCCCCAAACUCUCCUUCAGAACAGCUUUGCUUUUCAUGUUUUAUACAUUGGAAUUCACCCAAAGAUACUAUUUGCACAAAGAGAUAUCCUACUAAAAAUGUUUGAAAACCCACUGGACUGCUGUGUCUUAAUUUAAUUUCCUUCUCACUCUAAAAUUUGGAUCUUAGAGUGUCAGGGCAUUUGCAACUCCCUGUCUUUGCUUGGCGCUGGCAGAGGUGUGUCAUAGAGAUGAGGCUGUGGAUCUGUCUCACCUGUCUUCCUGAAGACCAUUUCUACAACUGCGGAGCUGCCGCAUGUGUACAAGGUCUGAAUCCACGGAAUCAGAGCUGAGAAGCUGACAGCUCUUGGGGCAAGUUCCGCAUGCUCUGAUUGCCUCCUCGAAGCACAGCAUGAAGGCCAGCAGCUUCUCCCUGGGCCUCCGUGAGGGUCCUCGCUGGGUAUCUUGUGGAAACAUUCAAUGCCCAGCAUCACUGGUGGCAUCAGAAAUGCCCAGGAAAUGAAGUUCUUGAAAGCUUAUAUCCAAGACCCCCAAGGACAACGCAAAGCGAAUGUGUUCCUUUUGAGGAGGGCAUGUUGAAGCAGCAAGCUACAAGUAUUUUAUUAAAAUCUCACAGAUUAUAUUAAAAACUGGGAAAAAACCCAUGAAUGUAACUGUAUUUUUCAUAUUUUGAAAUCAUAUAUUCUUUGUGUUCAGUGGCUCUAUGUACCACAAUAUUUGGCUUCUUUUUCUAGCACCACACUAUUAAUUUGAAGAGUUAGUCUAUGCAGAACUCCAUUAUGUCAAAAACUCCAUUUUUGUCAACUACAUGUGAGAUAAGACCUUUUUUGUCCUUGAACUCUUGAGCUCAAGUGAUCCUCCUGCCUCAGCCCCCUGACUAACUGCCAUCAUGCCUGAUGUAAGUUGACUGUACCUGCCCAGCUGGCCUCAUGAAUGGAUGCCUUCUUCAUGGUCAAGUAAUAGAAGUAUGGAGACUGUCUGGCUGCACCACUUCCUGGCUGGGUGACCUUUAGCAAGUUAAUUUGCCUUCCUGUAUCUGCAAGUCCUCAUCUGGAAAAUGAAGAUAACAGUGCUCAUCUCAUAGAACUGCAAUGAGGAUUAAAUGAUAAUCCCAUAAGAUGCUUACAGUAAUGUCUAGUACAUGGUGUCAAAUGUUUGCCACAUGGUCUAUCUCAGCAAAUAUUAGAUGAAUA
ensembl:lncRNA